AGUGAACCCCUGUAUUUUGUUGGGGCAACCUCUGAGAUAUAAAUUGGAACCAGAACUGUGUUCACACCAAUCCCAAGGCCAACAAGAAAUCUCCCCCACAGUAUUUCAUCCAAGGAAUGGGCUUGUGCACUUACAAGUGCACCAAGAAUUAAUGGAAUUGAGUCAAACUGAAAGGUGCGGCGACAUCCAAGUUUAUCCACAAGAAAACCAGAGUUUAUGCUUCCAAUAAAUGCCCCAGUAAUAAAUAUGCUGACCACAAGUCCCUCAAGAAUUGGGUCUCCUUCAAAACCAAGCUCUCGUGCAACAGAAACAAUAGGGCCAUUCAUCACUCCUAUGUGAUAACCAAAGAGGAAAUUCGACAUAGAAGCAAUCAAAGCGUGAGGAAAGGCAGGCAACCAUCCGAAAUCAGCACUUUCACCUUCCUUUUCUUCUACAAACGAUUUUUCAACACCAUCUGGCUUGGGAUUCUGUAGCUCCGGCGGUGGCUUCUUCGAUGCCCAAAC
rnacentral:misc_RNA from 1 species